UGGCUCAGGAUGAACGCUAGCGACAGGCUUAACACAUGCAAGUCGAGGGGCAGCACAGGUAGCAAUACCGGGUGGCGACCGGCGCACGGGUGAGUAACGCGUAUGCAACUUACCUAUCAGAGGGGGAUAACCCGGCGAAAGUCGGACUAAUACCGCAUGAAGCAGGGGCCCCGCAUGGGGAUAUUUGCUAAAGAUUCAUCGCUGAUAGAUAGGCAUGCGUUCCAUUAGGCAGUUGGCGGGGUAACGGCCCACCAAACCGACGAUGGAUAGGGGUUCUGAGAGGAAGGUCCCCCACAUUGGUACUGAGACACGGACCAAACUCCUACGGGAGGCAGCAGUGAGGAAUAUUGGUCAAUGGCCGAGAGGCUGAACCAGCCAAGUCGCGUGAGGGAUGAAGGUUCUAUGGAUCGUAAACCUCUUUUAUAAGGGAAUAAAGUGCGGGACGUGUCCCGUUUUGUAUGUACCUUAUGAAUAAGGAUCGGCUAACUCCGUGCCAGCAGCCGCGGUAAUACGGAGGAUCCGAGCGUUAUCCGGAUUUAUUGGGUUUAAAGGGUGCGUAGGCGGCCUUUUAAGUCAGCGGUGAAAGUCUGUGGCUCAACCAUAGAAUUGCCGUUGAAACUGGGGGGCUUGAGUAUGUUUGAGGCAGGCGGAAUGCGUGGUGUAGCGGUGAAAUGCAUAGAUAUCACGCAGAACCCCGAUUGCGAAGGCAGCCUGCCAAGCCAUGACUGACGCUGAUGCACGAAAGCGUGGGGAUCAAAGAGGAUUAGAUACCCUGGUAGUCCACGCAGUAAACGAUGAUCACUAGCUGUUUGCGAUACACUGUAAGCGGCACAGCGAAAGCGUUAAGUGAUCCACCUGGGGAGUACGCCGGCAACGGUGAAACUCAAAGGAAUUGACGGGGGCCCGCACAAGCGGAGGAACAUGUGGUUUAAUUCGAUGAUACGCGAGGAACCUUACCCGGGUUUGAACGCAUUCGGACCGAGGUGGAAACACCUUUUCUAGCAAUAGCCGUUUGCGAGGUGCUGCAUGGUUGUCGUCAGCUCGUGCCGUGAGGUGUCGGCUUAAGUGCCAUAACGAGCGCAACCCUUGCCACUAGUUACUAACAGGUAAAGCUGAGGACUCUGGUGGGACUGCCAGCGUAAGCUGCGAGGAAGGCGGGGAGGACGUCAAAUCAGCACGGCCCUUACAUCCGGGGCGACACACGUGUUACAAUGGCGUGGACAAAGGGAGGCCACCUGGUGACAGGGAGCGAAUCCCCAAACCACGUCUCAGUUCGGAUCGGAGUCUGCAACCCGACUCCGUGAAGCUGGAUUCGCUAGUAAUCGCGCAUCAGCCAUGGCGCGGUGAAUA
rnacentral:rRNA from 1 species